CAAAAAGUUAGUCUAACCAAGACA
rnacentral:tRNA from 1 species